rnacentral:rRNA from 1 species
CCCUUAGAUGUUCUGGGCCGCACGCGCGCUACAAUGGCAGACUCAGCGAGUUACCCCUGUCGAAAGGCACAGGGAAUCUUUACAGUAUCUGCCGUGAUGGGGAUAGACCCUUGUAAUUUUUGGUCUUCAACGAGGAAUUCCUAGUAAACGCAAGUCAUUAACUUGCAUUGAUUACGUCCCUGCCCUUUGUACACACCGCCCGUCGCACCUACCGAUUGAAUGGUCCGGUGAAGUCCUCGGACCCAGUUGAACCUCGAGUUGAACAGGGAAAGUUGACUAAAUCUUACCAUUUAGAGGAAGGUGAAGUCGUAACA